rnacentral:rRNA from 1 species
UAGGGAAUAUUGGACAAUGGGCGCAAGCCUGAUCCAGCCAUGCCGCGUGAGUGAAGAAGGCCCUCGGGUUGUAAGGCUCUUUUGUCCGGAAAGAAAAGCAUCGGGUUAAUACCCCGGUGUUCUGACGGUACCGGAAGAAUAAGCACCGGCUAACUUCGUGCCAGCAGCCGCGGUAAUACGAAGGGUGCAAGCGUUACUCGGAAUUACUGGGCGUAAAGCGUGCGUAGGUGGUUCGUUAAGUCUGAUGUGAAAGCCCUGGGCUCAACCUGGGAAUGGCAUUGGAAACUGGCGGACUGGAGUGCGGUAGAGGGUAGCGGAAUUCCCGGUGUAGCAGUGAAAUGCGUAGAGAUCGGGAGGAACAUCCGUGGCGAAGGCGGCUACCUGGACCAGCACUGACACUGAGGCACGAAAGCGUGGGGAGCAAAC